rnacentral:rRNA from 1 species
AUUGAACGCUGGCGGCAUGCCUUACACACGCAAGUCGAACGGUAGCAGGUCUUCGGAUGCUGACGAGUGGCGAACGGGUGAGUAAUACAUCGGAACGUGCCUAGUAGGGGGGGAUAACUACUCGAAAGAGUGGCUAAUACCGCAUGAGAUCUACGGAUGAAAGCAGGGGAUCGCAAGACCUUGUGCUACUAGAGCGGCCGAUGGCAGAUUAGGUAGUUGGUGGGAUAAAAGCUUACCAAGCCGACGAUCUGUAGCUGGUCUGAGAGGACGAUCAGCCAGACUGGAGCUGGAACACGGCCCAAACUCCUACGGGAGGCAGCAGUGGGGAAUUUUGGACAAUGGGCGCAAGCCUGAUCCAGCAAUGCCGCGUGCAGGAUGAAGGCCUUCGGGUUGUAAACUGCUUUUGUACGGAACGAAAAGCCCUGGGUUAAUACCCUGGGGUCAUGACGGUACCGUAAGGAUAAGCACCGGCUAACUACGUGCCAGCCGCCGCCGUAAAAC